rnacentral:rRNA from 1 species
AGAGUUUGAUCAUGGCUCAGGAUGAACGCUAGCUGCAGGCUUAACACAUGCAAGUCGAGGGGAAACGAUAUUGGAAGCUUGCUUCCGAUAGGCGUCGACCGGCGCACGGGUGAGUAACGCGUAUCCAACCUGCCCCCCACUUGGGGAUAACCUUGCGAAAGUAAGACUAAUACCCAAUGACGUCUCUAGAAGACAUCUGAAAGAGAUUAAAGAUUUAUCGGUGAUGGAUGGGGAUGCGUCUGAUUAGCUUGUUGGCGGGGUAACGGCCACCAAGGCUACGAUCAGUAGGGGUUCUGAGAGGAAGGUCCCCCACAUUGGAACUGAGACACGGUCCAAACUCCUACGGGAGCA